GCAUGGAUUUGGAUUUAUGGUAGGCCUAGACCCAUGGGUCUCUCAUCAUGUCCCAUGCCAGAGCAAACCGUAGUCCCUAACCAUUGCCUUGUCUCCUAGCCCAUAGGCUUCUGGUACUGAAGCAGGUUGCACAGUG